CACCCCAAAACUCUGUGGCUUAAAACAAUAAUCACGGAUUACUUCAUGAUUUCUGUGAGACAGAAAUUUAGGAGCAGCUUAGCUGGGCAGUUCUGCCUCAGGGUCUCUCACGACAUCGCAGUCAGGUGGUGACUGAGACUGGGGUCAUCUCAAACAGGUGUGGGCUGGAACAACUCGCCCUGUCUCCAUGCAGUCCCCCCACAAGGCCUGACAAGCAUGGGAGUUGCAGGUAGCCAGACUUCUCACACAGUGGUUCAGAGCUCCCAAGUCUCAUGGACAGAGAAAGAGAGAGAGAGAAAGUAAGAGCUAUAUCACUUUUGAGAAUCAAACCACAGAAGUCACAUAGCAUCACUUCCACCAUAAUCUGUGGUGGUAACAAGCCCUCCCCCGAUCCCUACCCAGAUUCAAGAGGAGGGAAUGUAGUUCCACCUUUCAGUGGGAGGAGUGCUAUUGUGAAUAAUCCUGCAAUGACAUGGGAGUAUAGAUGUCGCUUUGACAUACUGAUUUCCUUUCCUAUGGAUGUAUACCCAGAAGUGGGAUUGCUGGACCUUAUGGCAGUUUGUCUCUAAUUUUUUAAGAAAUCUCCACAUUGUUUUCCAUAAUGGCUGUAGCAGUUGACAUUCCCACCAAUAGUGUACAAGGGUUGCCUUUUCUGCACAUAUUAAAGAUCAGAGAAUAGAAAAUUCCUUUAUCUCUAACUCUCAAUUCUUCCCUACUUUUAACAUUAUGACUUUUCAAUAGAUGCUGUGUCCCUAAGCACCUCUACUCUCUCCUUUUUGUUAUGAAUAAUUCAAAUAGCACAGAGCAAAUCAAUAACACUCUUUUAAACCUAAAGAGCUCAGGGAUGGAAGAAUGCCUUGUUACUUCCUCUUCCUGAAGCAAAGUAAACAUGUUUCAUGGCAGAUCGUUGGUAGUUGAAAAGAUUUGCAAGCUACUUAAUGAUUACAAACCAGCUUUUAUUCUUUCAUAAGGUGGGCAGAAUCUUCCACUGUAAUUUUCAUUUUGUUUUUGUUUUGUUUUGUUUUGAGAUGGAGUCUCACUCUUGUCGCCCAGGCUGGAGUGCAAUGGCGUGAUCUCGGCUCACUGCAACCUCCACCUCCUGGGUUCAAACUAUUCUCCUGCCUCAGCCUCCUAAGUAGCUGAGCUUACAGGCAUGCACCACCAUGCACUGAUUUUUGUUUCACUUUCUUUAGCAAAAGAGCAUGAAGUACAUCCUCUUGCUCACAUUAAUCUCAAAUGUGCAGAACAAUAAUAUGUUUUUAUUUAUCUAUAAUUGAAUUCAUGUUUCUCACAACUACCUGCCUUCUGGGGGUGUGUGUCGUGUGUGUGUGUGUGUGUGUAGCAUUUUAUUUUGUAGGGGAGAGUAUAGAUGAUUUGUAUAGAUUUUUUAAGUCAUCUUUUUGAAGUAUAUAUAUACAGAAAUAUGUACAAAUCAUAUGUGUCUAGCUGGGUGAUUUUUCCCAAAGUAAACACACCUGCAUAACUGGCACCCAGAUCAAGAAAUAGAACAUGAACAGCACCCCAGAGCUCCCAUGGCACCCUAUCUUGGUCAAGAUGGUAGGGGGUGAUAUAAACUUUCAUAUCUGCCUUCAGAGUCCUUGGCAGUGGUCUCUGGGGCAGAGGUCAUUCUUCUGCCAUCAGCUGCUGACAUCUGUGGCCAGCACAACUGAGUAGCACCCAUCAGUGGUCUCUGCUGACUGGGCCCCACGUCAGCUCUGGUUGGUGCUGUGAGCCCCUCCCGCCCCAGGAAUACUAUGGUGAUUCUCCUGUGAUUCUGGCUCACGUGGUCACUUGGCAGCCCUCCAGGACAGAACCCACACUCCAUCACAGUGACACCCUCUGGAAGUAUCCUCCACUAUUUUCCCAACUAUUUCUCCUUUCCUUCUUUGAGAAGGGGAGUUAGGUGGGGUGGAAACACUUCAUGUUUCAGCCAUGCCAUGCCCAAACUCAAGCCCUCGCUCCUUCUGCCUAACAAUGCAGUACCAUGAAAACUGCUUAUA
rnacentral:lncRNA from 10 species